rnacentral:rRNA from 1 species
GGAUAUCUAGAGUGCAGGAGAGGAAAGCGGAAUUCCUAGUGUAGCGGUGAAAUGCGUAGAGAUUAGGAAGAACACCAGUGGCGAAGGCGGCUUUCUGGACUGUAACUGACGCUGAGGCACGAAAGCGUGGGUAGCAAACAGGAUUAGAUACCCUGGUAGUCCACGCCGUAAACGAUGGAUACUAGGUGUAGGGGGUAUCAACUCCCUCUGUGCCGCAGUUAACACAAUAAGUAUCCCGCCUGGGGAGUACGGUCGCAAGAUUAAAACUCAAAGGAAUUGACGGGGGCCCGCACAAGCAGCGGAGCAUGUGGUUUAAUUCGAAGCAACGCGAAGAACCUUACCUGGACUUGACAUCCCUUGCAUAGCCUAGAGAUAGGUGAAGCCCUUCGGGGCAAGGAAACAGGUGGUGCAUGGUUGUCGUCAGCUCGUGUCGUGAGAUGUUAGGUUAAGUCCUGCAACGAGCGCAACCCUUGUUAUUAGUUGCUACCAUUAAGUUGAGCACUCUAAUGAGACUGCCUGGGUAACCAGGAGGAAGGUGGGGAUGACGUCAAAUCAUCAUGCCCCUUAUGUCCAGGGCUACACACGUGCUACAAUGGUAGGUACAAUAAGAGGCAAGACCGUGAGGUGGAGCAAAACUUAUAAAGCCUAUCUCAGUUCGGAUUGUAGGCUGCAACUCGCCUACAUGAAGCUGGAGUUGCUAGUAAUCGCGAAUCAGAAUGUCGCGGUGAAUACGUUCCCGGGCCUUGUACACACCGCCCGUCACACCAUGAGAGCUGGUAACACCCGAAGUCCGUGAGGCAACCGUAAGGAGCCAGCGGCCGAAGGUGGGAUUAGUGAUUGGGGUGAAGUCGUAACAAGGUAGCCGUAGGAGAACCUGCGGCUGGUCACCUCCUU